AUUGAACGCUGGCGGCAUGCUUUACACAUGCAAGUCGAACGGUAACAGGUUAAGCUGACGAGUGGCGAACGGGUGAGUAAUGCAUCGGAACGUGCCCGGUCGUGGGGGAUAACACUUCGAAAGAAGUGCUAAUACCGCAUACGAUCUGAGGUUGAAAGCGGGGGACCGUAAGGCCUCGCGCGAUCGGAGCGGCCGAUGUCAGAUUAGGUAGUUGGUGGGGUAAAGGCCUACCAAGCCGACGAUCUGUAGCGGGUCUGAGAGGCCGACCAGCCACACUGGGACUGAGACACGGCCGAGACUCCUACGGGAGGCAGCAGUGGGGAAUUUUGGACAAUGGGCGCAAGCCUGAUCCAGCAAUGCCGCGUGCAGGAAGAAGGCCUUCGGGUUGUAAACUGCUUUUGUACGGAGCGAAAAGGCUCUCUCUAAUACAGGGGGCUGAUGACGGUACCGUAAGAAUAAGCACCGGCUAACUACGUGCCAGCCGCCGCCGUAA
rnacentral:rRNA from 1 species